rnacentral:tRNA from 1 species
GCCUGGCUGGCUCAGUCAGUAGAGCAUGCGACUCUUGAUCUCAGUGUCAUGAGUUCAAGCCUUAUGUUGGGCA